rnacentral:rRNA from 1 species
UACGUAGGGUCCGAGCGUUGUCCGGAAUUAUUGGGCGUAAAGGGCUCGUAGGCGGUUUGUCGCGUCGGGAGUGAAAACUCAGGGCUCAACCCUGAGCGUGCUUCCGAUACGGGCAGACUAGAGGUAUGCAGGGGAGAACGGAAUUCCUGGUGUAGCGGUGGAAUGCGCAGAUAUCAGGAGGAACACCGGUGACGAAGGCGGUUCUCUGGGCAUGACCUGACGCUGAGGAGCGAAAGCAUGGGGAGCGAACAGG